rnacentral:rRNA from 1 species
GAAACACGGACCAAGGAGUCUAACUUGUACGCGAGUCAUUGAGCUUCUGCACCUCAAAGGCGUAAUGAAAUGUGAAGGCAUGGUUUAACCGUGCUGAGACGUGAUCCAUAACUCAACGUAGUUACGGCGCAACGUCAGCCCGUCUAAAUGGCUUUGUCCAUUGGGCGGAGCUUGAGCGUACAAGUUGGCACCCGAAAGAUGGUGACCUAUGCCUGGGCAAAACGAAGCCAGAGGAAACUCUGGUGGAGGUUUGAAGCGAUUCUGACGUGCAAAUCGAUCGCCUGACCUGGGUAUAGGGGCGAAAGACUAAUCGAACCAUCUAGUAGCUGGUUCCCUCCGAAGUUUCCCUCAGGAUAGCUGGCGCUCGUUUAAAAGCAGUCUCUUCCGGUAAAGCGAAUGAUUAGAGGCCUUGGGGUCGAAACGACCUCAACCUAUUCUCAAACUUUUAAUGGGUGAGAAGCUGAGCUUGCUUGAAUGAAGUUUCAGUGAGCGAUGCGAGUGCCCAGUGGGCCACUUUUGGUAAGCAGAACUGGCGCUGUGGGAUGAACCAAACGCCGAGUUAAGGUGCCCGAUGCAUGACGCUCAUGAGAACCCAGAAAGGGUGUUGGUUGCUUAAGACAGCAGGACGGUGGCCAUGGAAAGUCGGA